ACGCUGGCGGCGUGCCUAAUACAUGCAAGUCGAGCGAACGGACGAGAAGCUUGCUUCUCUGAUGUUAGCGGCGGACGGGUGAGUAACACGUGGAUAACCUACCUAUAAGACUGGGAUAACUUCGGGAAACCGGAGCUAAUACCGGAUAAUAUUUUGAACCGCAUGGUUCAAAAGUGAAAGACGGUCUUGCUGUCACUUAUAGAUGGAUCCGCGCUGCAUUAGCUAGUUGGUAAGGUAACGGCUUACCAAGGCAACGAUGCAUAGCCGACCUGAGAGGGUGAUCGGCCACACUGGAACUGAGACACGGUCCAGACUCCUACGGGAGGCAGCAGUAGGGAAUCUUCCGCAAUGGGCGAAAGCCUGACGGAGCAACGCCGCGUGAGUGAUGAAGGUCUUCGGAUCGUAAAACUCUGUUAUUAGGGAAGAACAUAUGUGUAAGUAACUGUGCACAUCUUGACGGUACCUAAUCAGAAAGCCACGGCUAACUACGUGCCAGCAGCCGCGGUAAUACGUAGGUGGCAAGCGUUAUCCGGAAUUAUUGGGCGUAAAGCGCGCGUAGGCGGUUUUUUAAGUCUGAUGUGAAAGCCCACGGCUCAACCGUGGAGGGUCAUUGGAAACUGGAAAACUUGAGUGCAGAAGAGGAAAGUGGAAUUCCAUGUGUAGCGGUGAAAUGCGCAGAGAUAUGGAGGAACACCAGUGGCGAAGGCGACUUUCUGGUCUGUAACUGACGCUGAUGUGCGAAAGCGUGGGGAUCAAACAGGAUUAGAUACCCUGGUAGUCCACGCCGUAAACGAUGAGUGCUAAGUGUUAGGGGGUUUCCGCCCCUUAGUGCUGCAGCUAACGCAUUAAGCACUCCGCCUGGGGAGUACGACCGCAAGGUUGAAACUCAAAGGAAUUGACGGGGACCCGCACAAGCGGUGGAGCAUGUGGUUUAAUUCGAAGCAACGCGAAGAACCUUACCAAAUCUUGACAUCCUUUGACAACUCUAGAGAUAGAGCUUUCCCCUUCGGGGGACAAAGUGACAGGUGGUGCAUGGUUGUCGUCAGCUCGUGUCGUGAGAUGUUGGGUUAAGUCCCGCAACGAGCGCAACCCUUAAGCUUAGUUGCCAUCAUUAAGUUGGGCACUCUAAGUUGACUGCCGGUGACAAACCGGAGGAAGGUGGGGAUGACGUCAAAUCAUCAUGCCCCUUAUGAUUUGGGCUACACACGUGCUACAAUGGACAAUACAAAGGGCAGCGAAACCGCGAGGUCAAGCAAAUCCCAUAAAGUUGUUCUCAGUUCGGAUUGUAGUCUGCAACUCGACUACAUGAAGCUGGAAUCGCUAGUAAUCGUAGAUCAGCAUGCUACGGUGAAUACGUUCCCGGGUCU
rnacentral:rRNA from 1 species